rnacentral:rRNA from 2 species
UGGGGAAUAUUGGACAAUGGGCGAAAGCCUGAUCCAGCAAUGCCGCGUGAGUGAUGAAGGCCUUAGGGUUGUAAAGCUCUUUUACCCGGGAUGAUAAUGACAGUACCGGGAGAAUAAGCUCCGGCUAACUCCGUGCCAGCAGCCGCGGUAAUACGGAGGGAGCUAGCGUUAUUCGGAAUUACUGGGCGUAAAGCGCACGUAGGCGGCUUUGUAAGUUAGAGGUGAAAGCCUGGAGCUCAACUCCAGAAUUGCCUUUAAGACUGCAUCGCUUGAAUCCAGGAGAGGUGAGUGGAAUUCCGAGUGUAGAGGUGAAAUUCGUAGAUAUUCGGAAGAACACCAGUGGCGAAGGCGGCUCACUGGACUGGUAUUGACGCUGAGGUGCGAAAGCGUGGGGAGCAAACAGG